rnacentral:lncRNA from 1 species
UGGCAAAGGAGACAGAACGUGUGUAAUAGCCAGAAGGAAUGGAGAACACCAAGAAAACAAGUGUCUCUAAAUCAACGUGAGCAAAGCCCAUAUGAAUUCACAGAGACUGAAAGGACAUGCACAAGAUCCACCUUUCGAUUCAAGUCUUCAAAUUCUACCUUCAGUACAAAGGAAUCCUGUGAUCUUCACCCUAUAUAUGAAGCAGUUUGGGGAAUAGAAACCCUGACUAAGACAAGACCCCAACCCCUGGACAAAGAACUAUCAGCAA